UACAACCCUAUCAUUUAAUACAUAUGAAGAAACCGAAGUUCAGAGAGAUGAAGUUGUUACUGAAAAUGCAAGACCAUGUACCUGAUGCACAGUGAGGCCAAACAACACCAAAACUUCAGAGUUGGGAACAGAGAAUGGUUUACUGAGGGCCGUGCAAGGAGAACUGGGUAGCGUCUGACUCAUUGGAAAAGACCCUGAUGCUGCGAAAGAUUGAAGGCAGGAAAAGAAGGGGAUGACAGAGGAUGAGAAGGUUGGAUGGCAUCACCGACUUGAUAGAUAUGAGGUUGAGCAAGCUCUGAGAGUUGGUGGUGGACAGGGAAGCCUGGUGUGCUGCAGUGCAUGGGGUCGCAAAGAGUCGGACACGACUGAGCCACUGAACUGAGCUGAAGAGCAAGGAGAUGGGUGGCUCCUGCCUUAAAAACCCCAAAAGCUUUCAGCAAAGCCCUCUUCUAGGAAAAGCGCGAGAGGGGCAUGGCCUCUGGGGAUUGCUCAGAGAGCAGUCAAGUGAAAAAAGCUACCAUGGAGAAUGGAGACCCAUGGAGACGACAGAUACCAUCCAGCUGCUGGAUAUGGUCUGUGGACAGAUUUCAGAAGAGUUACCAUAUGGUCCAAGAUGGCUGCUGGAGCCCCAGCCGCCACAUGUGCAUUCCAGGCCAGCAACGGAUGAAGGAGGGAAAGACAAAGGAGUCCAUCUCCCAAGUGCAUCAACUUUUUUCACGAUUUUUCCCCAAAGUCCUGUACAACAUUUCCAUAGUCACUCACACUCCCUAACUGUAAGUAAAACUGGAAUGUUGUCUUUUUGUUGGGUCCAUUACCACCUCAACUAAAAUUGAGGUUCUGUUACACUUUAGAGGAUUCAGUUCAGUUCAGUUCUGUCAUUCAGUCAUGUCCAACUCUGUGACCCUAUGGACUGUAGCACACCAGGCUUCUCUGUCCAUCACCAACUCCCAGAAUUUAUUCAAAUUCAUGUCCACUGAGUCGGUGAUGCCAUCCAACCAUCUCAUUCUCUGUUGUCCCCUUCUCCUCCCACCUUCAAUCUUUCCCAGCAUCAGAGUCUUUCCCAAUGUCUCAGUUCUUCGCAUCCAGUGGCCAAAGUAUUGGAGUUUUAGCUUCAGCAUCAGUCCUUCCAACGAAUAUUCAGGACUGAUUUCCUUUAGGAUGGACUGGUUGGAUCUCCUUGCAGUCCAAGGGACUCUCAAGAGUCUUCUCCAACACCACAGUUCAAAAGCAUCAAUUCUUCGGUGCUCAGCUUUCUUCACAGUCCAACUCUCACAUCUAUACAUGACUACUGGAAAAACCAUAGCUUUGACUAGAUGGACCUUUGUUGGCAAAGUAAUGUCUCUGCUUUUUAAUAUGCUGUCUAGGUUGGUCAUAACUUUUCUUCCAAGGAGUAAAUGUCUUUUAAUUUCAUGGCUGCAGUUACCAUCUGCAGUGAUUUUGGAGCCCAGAAAAAUAAAGUUUGUCUCUGUUUCCCCAUCUAUUUGCCAAGAAGUGAUGGGACCAGAUGCCAUAAUCUUAGUUUAGAGGAUUAGUGUUCCUCAAAUCACACUUUGGGAAACUGUGGACACUUUCCUAUUGGAAAGAAUUCUUCAUAUUGGCACUACUGACAUUUUGGGAGGGAUAAUUCUUAAUUGUGGUGCUGUUCUGUGAAUUUCAGGAUGAUUAGCAGCAUCCCUAGUCUCUACCCCCUAACAAGUCCUUCCCUAUCCUGUUGUGACAAUUAAAAAUGUCCAAGACAUCAGCAAAUAUCCCCAAGGGCAAAACUAUCCUCACAUAAAAACUUCCCCAUUUAUUAAUUUACUAACACAAACUCAUGGAUUCUUAACUAUUCCAUGUUGUUACACUUGUUUACUAUUCAACAUUUAAAUGAUCCCGGAUUUGACCAG